UAUGAACGCUGGCGGCGUGCCUAAUACAUGCAAGUCGAGCGAACGGACGAGAAGCUUGCUUCUCUGAUGUUAGCGGCGGACGGGUGAGUAACACGUGGAUAACCUACCUAUAAGACUGGGAUAACUUCGGGAAACCGGAGCUACUACCGGAUAAUAUUUUGAACCGCAUGGUUCAAAAGUGAAAGACGGUUUUGCUGUCACUUAUAGAUGGAUCCGCGCUGCAUUAGCUAGUUGGUAAGGUAACGGCUUACCAAGGCAACGAUGCAUAGCCGACCUGAGAGGGUGAUCGGCCACACUGGAACUGAGACACGGUCCAGACUCCUACGGGAGGCAGCAGUAGGGAAUCUUCCGCAAUGGGCGAAAGCCUGACCGAGCAACGCCGCGUGAGUGAUGAAGGUCUUCGGAUCGUAAAACUCUGUUAUUAGGGAAGAACAUAUGUGUAAGUAACUGUGCACAUCUUGACGGUACCUAAUCAGAAAGCCACGGCUAACUACGUG
rnacentral:rRNA from 1 species